GGAACAAGUAUCCGGUUAGUAGCUAUGUCCGCUAAUACAGGCCAGCCAGCUCAAGACAAGGUAUUAGAUGCCGCCAUAGUUGCUAUACUGGCGAAAGUAGGGGAUGUGAAGGGCUCACUCUCUAAUUUUGUGGGGAAAAUGGAACACGAAUCACUCACGUGGCCAAGUGUCCUUGACAGCUUUUCUGCAUUGUCAGGUCAGUUUGAGUGAGGAGUCGUCUGAAUAGCGUAAAUUAAAUUAGGAAAAAUUUUGCAAUUUACCAAAA